GACAGAGGGUGCAAACGUUGCUCGGAAUUACUGGGCGUAAAGCGCGUGUAGGCGGUGCCGCACGUCCGGUGUGAAAGCCCGGGGCUCAACCCCGGAAGUGCAUCGGAAACGACGGCGCUGGAGUGCUGUAGAGGAGGGCGGAAUUCCCGGUGUAGAGGUGAAAUUCGUAGAUAUCGGGAGGAACACCAGUGGCGAAGGCGGCCCUCUGGACAGCGACUGACGCUGAGACGCGAAAGCGUGGGGAGCAAACAGG
rnacentral:rRNA from 1 species